GAUGAACGCUGGCGGCGUGCCUAAUACAUGCAAGUCGAGCGAACGGACGAGAAGCUUGCUUCUCUGAUGUUAGCGGCGGACGGGUGAGUAACACGUGGAUAACCUACCUAUAAGACUGGGAUAACUUCGGGAAACCGGAGCUAAUACCGGAUAAUAUUUUGAACCGCAUGGUUCAAAAGUGAAAGACGGUCUUGCUGUCACUUAUAGAUGGAUCCGCGCUGCAUUAGCUAGUUGGUAAGGUAACGGCUUACCAAGGCAACGAUGCAUAGCCGACCUGAGAGGGGGAUCGCCCACACUGAACCUGAGAAACGGCCCAGCUUCCAACGGGAGGCAGCAGUAGGGAAUCUUCCGCAAUGGGCGAAAGCCUGACGGAGCAACGCCGCGUGAGUGAUGAAGGUCUUCGGAUCGUAAAACUCUGUUAUUAGGGAAGAACAUAUGUGUAAGUAACUGUGCACAUCUGGACGGUACCUAAUCAGAAAGCCACGGCUAACUACGU
rnacentral:rRNA from 1 species